AGAGUUUGAUCCUGGCUCAGGACGAACGCUGGCGGCGUGCUUCACACAUGCAAGUCGAACGGAAAGGCCCGCUUGCGGGUACUCGAGUGGCGAACGGGUGAGUAACACGUGGGUGAUCUGCCCUGCACUUUGGGAUAAGCCUGGGAAACUGGGUCUAAUACCGAAUACACCUUGCUGGUCGCAUGGCCUGGUGGGGGAAAGCUUUUGCGGUGUGGGAUGGGCCCGCGGCCUAUCAGCUUGUUGGUGGGGUGAUGGCCUACCAAGGCGACGACGGGUAGCCGGCCUGAGAGGGUGUCCGGCCACACUGGGACUGAGAUACGGCCCAGACUCCUACGGGAGGCAGCAGUGGGGAAUAUUGCACAAUGGGCGCAAGCCUGAUGCAGCGACGCCGCGUGAGGGAUGACGGCCUUCGGGUUGUAAACCUCUUUCAGUACCGACGAAGCGGAAGUGACGGUAGGUACAGAAGAAGCACCGGCCAACUACGUGCCAGCCGCCGCGGUAAUAC
rnacentral:rRNA from 1 species